rnacentral:misc_RNA from 1 species
CGGAACCUCCAGGUUUUUUAUAUAGGUCCUUGCAUUUUCAAUUAUUGUUUCUGAAUUUAUUCCCGAAUAUUUAAUUAUAAGGUUAGGGACAUAUUAUGCUAGCUCAGAAUCUGGAAGUAACUUUGACGGAUGACAUUGAGAACUUAUUUGUCGAAUUCCUUUUGUUAUGAUAACCGAUAGGGAGCUCGACUAUUAGAUGACAGAUGAUUGAAAUUACCAAGUCCAAG